CCUACGGGCGGCAGCAGUGGGGAAUAUUGGGCAAUGGGCGCAAGCCUGACCCAGCAACGCCGCGUGAAGGAAGAAGGCUUUCGGGUUGUAAACUUCUUUUGUCAGGGAAGAGUAGAAGACGGUACCUGACGAAUAAGCCACGGCUAACUACGUGCCAGCAGCCGCGGUAAUACGUAGGUGGCAAGCGUUGUCCGGAUUUACUGGGUGUAAAGGGCGUGUAGCCGGGUUGACAAGUCAGAUGUGAAAUCCUGCGGCUUAACCCCCGAACUGCAUUUGAAACUGUUGGUCUUGAGUAUCGGAGAGGCAGGCGGAAUUCGUAGGGUAGCGGUGAAAUGCGUAGAUAUUAGGAGGAACACCAGUGGCGAAGGCGGCCGGCUGGACGACAACUGACGGUGAGGCGCGAAAGCGUGGGGAGCAAACAGGAUUAGAUACCCCUGUAGUC
rnacentral:rRNA from 1 species